GAAAUGCGAUAAGUAGUGUGAAUUGCAGAAUUCAGUGAAUCAUCGAAUCUUUGAACGCACAUUGCGCCCUUUGGUAUUCCAAAGGGCAUGCCUGUUCGAGCGUCAUUUGUACCCUCAAGCUUUGCUUGGUGUUGGGCGUCUUGUCUCUAGCUUUGCUGGAGACUCGCCUUAAAGUAAUUGGCAGUCGGCCUACUGGUUUCGGAGCGCAGCACAAGUCGCACUCUCUAUCAGCAAAGGUCUAGCAUCCAUAAAGCCUUUUUUCAACUUUUGACCUCGGAUCAGGUAGGGAUACCCGCUGAACUUAAGC
rnacentral:misc_RNA from 1 species